GAAGAGGUCAGUUCCUGCACACAGAGACAUAGAGGAGUUCAGUUCCUGCACACAGAGAUAGGUCAGAGGUCAGUUCCUGCACACAGAGAUAGGGCAGAGGUCAGUUCCUGCACACAGAGACAUAGAGGAGGUCAGUUCCUGCACACAGAGACAUAGAGGAGGUCAGUUCCUGCACACAGAGACAUAGAGGAGGUCAGUUCCUGCACACAGAGAUA